AUUGAACGCUGGCGGCAUGCCUUACACAUGCAAGUCGAACGGUAACAGGUCUUUCGGGAUGCUGACGAGUGGCGAACGGGUGAGUAAUACAUCGGAACGUGCCUAGUAGUGGGGGAUAACUACUCGAAAGAGUGGCUAAUACCGCAUGAGAUCUAUGGAUGAAAGCAGGGGACCUUCGGGCCUUGUGCUACUAGAGCGGCCGAUGGCAGCUUAGGUAGUUGGUGGGAUAAAAGCUUACCAAGCCUCCGAUCUGUAGCUGGUCUGAGAGGACGAUCAGCCACACGGGGACUGGGACACGGGCCAGACUCCUACGGGAGGCAGCAGUGGGGAAUUUUGGACAAAGGGCGCAAGACUGAUCCAGCAAUGCCGCGUGCAGGGUGAAGGCCUUCGGGUUGUAAACUGCUUUUGUACGGAACGAAAAGUCUUGGGUUAAUACCCUGGGAUCAUGACGGUACCGUAAGAAUAAGCACCGGCUAACUACGUGCCAGCCGCCGCGGUAACAC
rnacentral:rRNA from 1 species